rnacentral:lncRNA from 1 species
GCGACAGUUGGUCCACUGUAGGAGUGGGGUGUGCAUCAAGAUGGGACCUAUCGAUCCUAGCAGAAAAGAAUAGUCCUAUAAAAUUUAAGAGACUGAGUCCUUAAGUCUAUAGCCAUAGCAGUGUGAUUGAUGAAAAAAAGUUUCAUAGAAUCACAUAUAGACUCGAGCUGAUUGAAUCUAUCAUAUAACCGAUGUUGAGGUUUGACG